rnacentral:tRNA from 1 species
GCAGGGAGUUGGUAUAGAGUAGCACAAGUUCUGAAAAGUCUGCAAUCCGAAGGUCGUUGGUUCGAAUCCAACCCCUGCU